GUUGGGUUAAGUCCCGCAACGAGCGCAACCCUAUUGCUAGUUGCCAUCACAUAAUGGUGGGCACUCUAGUGAGACUGCCCGGGUCAACCGGGAGGAAGGUGGGGACGACGUCAAGUCAUCAUGGCCCUUACGUCCAGGGCUACACACGUACUACAAUGGUGGAUACAGAGGGUCGCGAAGCCGCGAGGUCGAGCCAAUCCCAGAAAAUCCAUCCCAGUCCGGAUCGCAGUCUGCAACUCGACUGUGUGAAGUUGGAAUCGCUAGUAAUCCCAGAUCAGCAUGCUGGGGUGAAUACGUUCCCGGGCCUUGUACACACCGCCCGUCACACCACGAAAGCUGGUUCUACCCAAAAUCGACGGACUAACCUUCGGGAGGUAGUCGCCUACGGUAGGGCUGGUAAUUGGGGUGAAGUCGUAACAAGGUACCA
rnacentral:rRNA from 1 species